ACCAUCUAGCGACCUCCACUAGCGGCGGAUGGGUGAGUAACACGUGGGGAACCUGCCCCAUAGUCUGGGNNACCUNCNNGGAAACANGUGCUAAUACCGGAUAAGAAAGCAGAUCGCAUGAUCAGCUUUUAAAAGGCGGCGUAAGCUGUCGCUAUGGGAUGGCCCCGCGGUGCAUUAGCUAGUUGGUAAGGUAAAGGCUUACCAAGGCGAUGAUGCAUAGCCGAGUUGAGAGACUGAUCGGCCACAUUGGGACUGAGACACGGCCCAAACUCCUACGGGAGGCAGCAGUAGGGAAUCUUCCACAAUGGACGCAAGUCUGAUGGAGCAACGCCGCGUGAGUGAAGAAGGUUUUCGGAUCGUAAAGCUCUGUUGUUGGUGAAGAAGGAUAGAGGUAGUAACUGGCCUUUAUUUGACGGUAAUCAACCAGAAAGUCACGGCUAACUACGUGCCAGCAGCCGCGGUAAUACGUAGGUCCCGAGCGUUGUCCGGAUUUAUUGGGCGUAAAGCGAGCGCAGGCGGGAGAACAAGUCAGCUGUGAAAGCCCUCGGCUUAACCGAGGAACGGCAACUGAAACUGUUUUUCUUGAGUGCAGAAGAGGAGAGUGGAACUCCAUGUGUAGCGGUGGAAUGCGUAGAUAUAUGGAAGAACACCAGUGGCGAAGGCGGCUCUCUGGUCUGUAACUGACGCUGAGGCUCGAAAGCAUGGGUAGCGAACAGGAUUAGAUACCCUGGUAGUCCAUGCCGUAAACGAUGAGUGCUAAGUGGUUAGUGGAGGUCGCUAGAUGGUCCGUUAACAGUGGAGGUCGCUAGAUGGUCAGGGGAUGGUGGAGGUCGCUAGAUGGUC
rnacentral:rRNA from 1 species